rnacentral:Y_RNA from 1 species
GGCUGGUCCAAGUGCAGUGGUGUUUAAACACUAUUGAUCACAAUUACAGAAUUUCUUUGUUCCUUCUCCACUCCCACUGCUUCACUUGACUAGCCUUUU